CUUAGAAUGGCAACAUCUAAAGGCUAAAUCAGCAAACAUGUUGAAGACAAUAGAGGAUCUUGAAGUUUCAAGAAGGUAUUGGUCUUUUUAUAAGAUUCAACCCCCCACCAAAAUAUAUAUUGGGGUUAAAAUAUAAGGCCUUGUUUCUACAUUUGGAGCGUCCUAUGUUACUAGAAACAAAGGACGUCGAGCCAACAUCCCUGUUGCUGCAGUCAGCUUCUUCCUAGGAGGACCUAGCAAUGCAGGUGCGGUGGAUAUCACAAUGUUGAUCAUAGGACGCAUUCUUCUUGGUAAAGGCAUCUAAAUGUGUUUGGUAUUUUAGGUAUCCAAAAUUUAUUGAUGCACUUAGAGAUUUGGAUGAUCCUCUUACAAUGGUGCACCUGUUUGCAAUGUUAACUUUGAAUCUUUGAAUCUUUGGAUUUAGGAUUUGUUUGAAUUAUCCUUCUAAUUAGUUACUUUUCUCAUUUCCUACUUGAUAGAAAUGUGUUUGACUCUAGAUAUUUUCAUCAUUUCAGGCAAGAAUGAUUGAUUUUUAUUACAGAUCGAUUAUGGUUUUA